rnacentral:rRNA from 1 species
AAGUCUGAUGUGAAAGCCCCCGGCUCAACCGGGGAGGGUCAUUGGAAACUGGGAAACUUGAGUGCAGAAGAGGAGAGUGGAAUUCCACGUGUAGCGGUGAAAUGCGUAGAGAUGUGGAGGAACACCAGUGGCGAAGGCGACUCUCUGGUCUGUAACUGACGCUGAGGAGCGAAAGCGUGGGGAGCGAACAGGAUUAGAUACCCUGGUAGUCCACGCCGUAAACGAUGAGUGCUAAGUGUUAGGGGGUUUCCGCCCCUUAGUGCUGCAGCUAACGCAUUAA